UACGGGGGGGGCAAGCGUUGUUCGGAAUUACUGGGCGUAAAGGGCUUGUAGGUGGCCAACUAAGUCAGACGUGAAAUCCCUCAGCUUAACUGGGGAACUGCGUCUGAUACUGGAUGGCUUGAGAUUGGGAGAGGGAUGCGGAAUUCCAGGUGUAGCGGUGAAAUGCGUAGAUAUCUGGAGGAACACCGGUGGCGAAGGCGGCAUCCUGGACCAACACUGACACUGAGGAGCGAAAGCCAGGGGAGCAAACGGG
rnacentral:rRNA from 1 species